rnacentral:lncRNA from 1 species
UCUAACUAAAAGUAUAGGCAGCAACAUAAAGAUAUGCUGGAAGAUAUCCCCUCUUCUGCAAUCUUCAACCUACUUUGAACAAUCCUCAAAGCGUCUAGAACUCCACGAGUUCUCCUCUUGUAAUCCCAACAGGACAACAACAACCUUCCAAAUAUUGAUAGAAGUCUUGAUCAAUAUGAUGAACACAAGCACUGCAAAAUUUGAUCAAAC